rnacentral:tRNA from 1 species
AGGUAAUUAGUAUAGAUAAAAUACUUGAUUUCGGCUCAAGAGUCUGUGGUUAGACCCCACAAUUGCCUA